AUUUUUAUAGUAAAAAUUAUAUUAUAUAACAUUUUCAUUGUUAAGUUGUUUUAAGACUAAAAAUU